rnacentral:rRNA from 1 species
UACGUAGGGGGCAAGCGUUGUCCGGAAUUAUUGGGCGUAAAGAGCGUGUAGGCGGUCCGGUAAGUCAGCUGUGAAAGUCAAGGGCUCAACCCUUGAAUGCCGGUUGAUACUGUCGGGCUAGAGUCCGGAAGAGGCGAGUGGAAUUCCCGGUGUAGCGGUGAAAUGCGCAGAUAUCAGGAAGAACACCCGUGGCUAAGGCGGCUCUCUAGUACGGUACUGACGCUGAGACGCGAAAGCGUGGGGAGCGAACAGG